AUAAAAGCUAAAAAAAUAAUGGUUGAUAAAUUAGAGCUCAUUGCAUGUUUGGACUAAACAGCAUUACCAAAACAGUAGUUGCAAUGCUCACAGCUCCUCCAUGAGGGAGGGAAGCCUGCAAAUUUGCACUAUACAGAGAAGGAAGCUAUUAAGUGGCAGGGCCAAUGUGGCACAGUGGGUUUGAUUUUUAACCAGCACACAUGAUUGCCUCUUGAGGUUUUAGAUCAGGUUAUUGAAAUAUAGCUAGCAUAGUCAUGAAAUAGAAGGGUACAUUAAAUAGAAAGUGGGGUAGUAGGUAAAGUAUUUCUGUAGCUCUGCAUAAGUCAGAUCAAUUGUCUUGGCCUUAGUUUACUCAACUGUUAGAGUCUAGUGAAGCCCACUUCCAGCUAUAAAAAUCAAGUUUUUUGCCAUGUCGAUGGAAUGCAACAGGUAAGAACAAAGGAAUAACAACUAUGUAAAAAAAAAAAAAUUCGGCAAAGGGCUCUCUCUUUCUGUCUUGUAUGUGUGGAUGUGUGUUGCCAGGCAUCCUCUAAUGGAAAUAUGAGGUAGCUCUAGGGACAAAUAAAUUACAGGAAAGAGAAAAUACAUGAGAGUGAGGGUCAUAUACAGAUGUUGAAAUUGGUCGCUUUGUAUAUGGUAUUGGUGUGAAAAUGACCAGCCCAUUAAUCAGGUAGGAUCAGGUGGCAUAAAGAAAGCGUGGGUUGUCUUGGUAAAUGCCUGAUCUUUCUUCUCUUCCUCUAUCCUCUUCUACCCUAUUUUGAUGGACAUAUUCAGCACUUUUUGAUCUAUAACAAUUAAAAGGGAGCUUCUGCUGAUGGAAGCUUGUCAGGCCUUUGAAGCUGACACCAGGACCAGAGGGAGAGCUGCAUCUGCCAUGGGAGUCUGGGCUGUGAGGAGAUGAGAGGGGCUUGCCCUUCCAAGGGGAGAUCACCUUUGGCAGGAGUAAGUGCUUUCACUCAGAGGUAGCCCUGCUAGUGAGAUGAGAGCAGCGUGCACUAAGUUAGCAGAUUCAAAGGAGUGAGCUGGCAAACAGAAUCACAUCACAUCUGCCAGAGAAAGUGAUCAAAAGCAACAGGACCCAGGCAGCUGGCAAAAAGGUGACCCCUGGACACUCGGCUGUUUCAAAAACACAGCUGAUCCUAAAGAUUGAGAGAAAGUGAAUGAAUGUGCUCACUAUAAAUCUCUGCCAACUUAAAUAAUACAUCUCUCCUUCCUUCCCUUUUUCUCUUUCUUCAGUUUUUAAAAAUCCAUCCGAUCUAGUUUACUACUGACAUGGUUUAGCUGCGUCCCCACCUGAACGCAUCUUGAAUUGUGACUCCCACAAUUCCCACAUGUUGUGAGAGGAACCUGGUGGGAGGUGACUGAGUCAUUGGGUGGGUCUUUCUCCUGCGGGUCUCAUGAUAGUGAGUAAGUCUCACGAGAUCUGAUGGGAGUUUCCCUGCAGAAGCUUUCUUCUCUCGUCUGUUGCCAUGUGAGACCUGCUUUUCACUUUCCUCCAUGAUUGUGAGGCCUCCUCAGCCACGUGGAACGCUUGCAACUUUAUGAAGAGAAGAGGUCACUUUCUCUUGAAGAACUUAAACCCUGAGUAUACCAUUUUUGUUUGAGAAUACUGAUGACCACAUUUCCCAGCUUUCUGAUGAUUCUGACUGCUUGGUACUGACUCUUGUUGAACAUCUGUGGGAUCAAGCCUGAGGCUACACCUCCAUGAGCAUAAAAUACCUAAAUUACCCAUGAAACUUUUAUGAACAAGGCAAUUUUUGAAGCUGAAAAGCCUAAAAUAAUGUCAAAGCUCUCAAAGUGAAGAAGAUAAAAUCGUUCUUCAUCUUUACCUCCUUCCCCCCACCCUACCUGCCACCCUUUUGGCCUACUGUUUAGUGGAAAGCUCUCUUAUAAAAUUACCCUCCUCUAACUUCCUUGUCUCAGAGUGAUUGACGUCUGGACAAUUUUGUUUUGCUUUGGGUAACUUCAGAGAAUACAUUUUUGCUCACUGGAUUCAGUAUUGUGUCUGUACUCUUUUUUGGUUUCAAAGGGUGAGACACUGUCUUUGGCUUUCUCUGAAUCUUCUCUUCAUCCUUAUUUUGUGGUUAUUGUAGAAGAUGCCAAAGCAUCAGAUUAGCAUUCAUUUGGAAAUCAUUUCUAGUGUAAGUCAGAGUCCUGAUGGGAACAUGGAAACCAUGUUAGGAAUUUAAAAUAGAGUCGAUUUGCUUUGGGAUAUUAUGACACAGAUACUGAUGAGCUGAAAGAGCAGAAAGGUAAUACUGGUGACCUAGAAUAGUAGGUACAGGAAGAGCCUGCGAUGAAGAAGAAACAGUGGAGACAGAGGAACUAUGUGGCUGGUUUAGCAAAUACAGAAAGAAGUUGAAGGCUUGACCAGGGGAAGCACAGCUCCAAAGGCAAGAAGUAAGGCAGGAAGAAGCUCCUUGUCCCUCUCCCCCAUCUCCCACUGUUACUCUGUUAUGCUGCCUGCUGGCAGAAAUUCAGUUCCCAAACUGGGAAUCAUAGUUUGCUGUGUUUUGAGCCCCAGCAUCACGGAGUAUAGAAUGAGUUUAGAGGUAAGAGAAACCAGAUAAUAAAUCAGCACAAUUUCAACAAUUCUUGACACAAAGAAUAUAAUUUCUUAGUAUACUUUCUAUUUAUACACUAUCAGUGCAGGCUCCUGCAAUUAAAUAUAUAUAUAUAUAUAUAAUAAAGUUUCAUCAAAUGGCACUUUAAAUUAAUAAUUUGUAACUCAAUGCAUUUUUAUUCUAUAAUUUAUUAGUUUCCAUUUGUUUAUCUUUGGUAGAAACUAUUUUAAAUUAGCAUUUGAUAAUUAGUAAAUGGGAUUUUCACCUUCUGUGCUGAUGUUAGAACUGAAUCUCCACAUAAGUUGCAACUUAUCUAAUAAUCUAGCAAACAUAUUAAAUCAAUUUAAAAAGAACCAAGUAUGUAACAAAUUAUUUUCCUCUAAAGAGAAAAUAAUUUGAGAACAUAUAAAGCAGAAUUUUUAGAGAAGGGAUUUAGAGCUCAUGUAACCAAUGAAUCUUGUUUCUAAAGUUACUUCCACUUAAUAGUCAAUUCUUUCUUUACAAAUCUGUAAAGGGCUGGACUGAGACAGUAUUGAAAAAAUACAUUUAAAUAAAUUUAGAGAUAAAAU